CUGCAGCCCGACUUGAGCGGAAAUCCUUUUUUGCUUUUACUUCGUUUUCUAAUUGAAGACAAAGCGUCUGCAAAAAAGAUUGGGAGCGGAAGGCGGAUACAGC
rnacentral:sRNA from 1 species